GUCCUUUCCUGGAUUUAGAUAUUUCGGUUAAAAACGGGAAACUCCACACUAAAAUUUACGACAACAGAGACGAUUUUUCGUUCCCUAUUGUUAAUUUUCCAUUUUUAGAUGGUGAUGUUCCUUUGGCACCAUCUUACGGUGUUUAUAUUUCACAACUUGUUCGCUAUGCCCGUGUCUGUUGUGACGUUUUUGAUUUUAACGAACCCAACC
rnacentral:lncRNA from 1 species